rnacentral:lncRNA from 1 species
UGAGCCUUGGCCCCGUCUUGAAGCCUCUGGGGAGUCUCCAGCUCACAAGGGCAGAGGAGAUGGAGACAGGCCGGUCGACGCGAGGGUGGUGCAGGUGGCCCCUCUGAGGUUUGGCUCUA